AUUGAACGCUGGCGGCAGGCUUAACACAUGCAAGUCGAGCGGGGGGAGGUAGCUUGCUACCGGACCUAGCGGCGGACGGGUGAGUAAUGCGUAGGAAUCUGCCUAUUAGUGGGGGACAACAUCUCGAAAGGGAUGCUAAUACCGCAUACGUCCUACGGGAGAAAGCAGGGGAUCUUCGGACCUUGCGCUAAUAGAUGAGCCUAAGUCGGAUUAGCUAGUUGGUGGGGUAAAGGCCUACCAAGGAGACGAUCUGUAGCGGGUCUGAGAGGAUGAUCCGCCACACUGGGACUGAGACACGGCCCAGACUCCUACGGGAGGCAGCAGUGGGGAAUAUUGGACAAUGGGGGGAACCCUGAUCCAGCCAUGCCGCGUGUGUGAAGAAGGCCUUAUGGUUGUAAAGCACUUUAAGCGAGGAGGAGGCUACUUUAGUUAAUACCUAGAGAUAGUGGACGUUACUCGCAGAAUAAGCACCGGCUAACUCUGUGCCAGCCGCCGCUGUAA
rnacentral:rRNA from 1 species